rnacentral:lncRNA from 1 species
CCUCCAAGUGAUGAUCUAGAGUUAGUUUGCUUUCUUUCAUUCUCUAGUACCUAAAAAUAUCAUUUUUAUGGAUUAAAUUGUGAAAGAUGGUAAAAUAAUGGUGAGGUGUACCAACAUCCAAAGUUGGUACAAUAUAUAUAUUUUUUUUUAAAGUGAACUUAAUUACAUAUACAAUCAUUUAUUUGUUUACGCUCAAACCAUUACCCGGAUUUAUUACAUAGAAUGAGCCACAAACAUGUGUUGAUAUAAAGUGAUGUGGAACCAACAAUAGAUCCAACCAAGUGCUAAUGGAUUUAUACUUCUUAAAUAUGUGGCAAGAAUUGAUGAAGAAACUCUUCGUACAUAUAACUCCAUAACCCAAAUAAAAGUGAUUUGUAUAAUUGUAAAUUUUGAGAUAUCAAAUUCAAUUCGUAUCGAUAAAAAAAAAUACACGGGAUGAAACAAGGCUGACCCAAGGUCCUAGCAAACCAAGUUAAGAUUUUAAGGUUCAAAAUUUUGGGUAAAAAAAAAAGCUUUUUUAAUUGUUUUAACACGAAAUAUUGCACAUGUUAAACAAAUCUCAUUUAAAUUUAUAAGUGUGCGUGACAAAUUAGUUAUAGACACAGUUAGUCAAAUUAAGAUAAUAAUCUUAUAUUAUUUUUGACGUAAGUUUAAAUCUUGAACUAAACAAAACAAGAUUUUAUCUUUAUAAACCUUGUGUUAUCUCAUUAUAGAAUUUGCUUUAAGCUUCCAAAUAUGUUGGACCGAUCUACCGUAGCAAGUUUAUAGUUUUUCUUACGAUUGGGAGAGUUUUUGUCAAUGUAAUAUAUCCACUUUAACUAGACUACAACAAUUAAAUGUGGUAAAGAAAGAACAAUAUAUACACGAAUGAGACAGUGUGAUAUUAGUGCCAACCAAGAAAAGACAAGGCAUCAAAUAUUGUUGUGCCAAUUUUAAAAGCAAUAACAUUUUACUCAAAACGAUACUUUCCGUUGAAGAACAAUUAUCAUGAUGUAUUUAUUAAAUUGGAAAAGCAAGCCAUCAAGAAUUAUAAUAACAACAGGUCUUGUACAAUAAGUUUUGCACUAGCAAUCAUUGAAUCAGUAAUUGGGUCUAGCUUGUUCUCCCAUUGUGUCAAGGAAAAAUUCUUUUCAUUAAGAGAGUCUUUAGAGUUUUGUUUCCCUCAACAAGAUUUAUUAGCCUAUAUAGGGUCAGGGCUGGCCUAAAGGUAAAGGCGACCCCAAACCCUCACUUUAGGCCUUGAAUAUUGGACUUAGAAUAAAUGCCUCGCAAUAAACAAAUUUAUAUACAAAUGAAUAAACACUACACAAAAAAUGAAUUAUAUAACUUUGUCAUGAAGCAAAGACGGUAGACGCGAAACUUUAUGAUGCUUACAACAUGAGUUCAACACUUCUCCAUACAACUUUACAAUUCACAUUAUUUUUCGUCGAAAGUGACUUACAGCACUUCCACCCUACCAUAAUGUUAUAAAAAUUACAUAAUGUAACUUUUAAAAACUAUGCUAAUCAUGAUUCUCACACACUUAACGUCAUACCAAAAAUUUAAGUAGUAGUACUAGUAGUAGAAGAAAAUAUAUUAUCAUAUAUGUUGAGCCAUUACGAAGGAACGUGAAUAAGUUAUUAGGAUUUAACGUUGUCUUGUGUGUCACCGCCAAUAGUUAUGAAUAUCACGCUAUUUGGCGGCAAGUGUAGCAGUGUGCCAUGCCAUACCCUGCCCUAUAUCACAGUUUCAACGUGACCAAACUAGACAAAAAGUAGUACACACGAGAUUUGUUUUCUUAAAAGAUGUUUCUUUCACCUUCUUGUUGGAGAUAAAAAUUAUGCAAGCAAUAGAGGAUGACUGAUUCACACAGCAUGAAGUAGAAUUAUACUAUAUUAUUAGUUAAAAUAAAACAGUGAUGAUGGUUUUAAGCAGGAUAACAUAAACAUACAAAUUUGUUUCCAAAAAUAUAAGCAUACAAAUUAGAGGUACGUUUUGUACUACGUCACGUUAAGAAAAAUGAAGUUCUAUACCAACCCAAUUUUAAUAACACACUAAAAAAUGGAUCAUGGAGUCGGUUGACUCGCAAUAAAAAUUGAGACUAAAUUGGGAAAGCUUUUAAGGGAGACAAUUAAUUUGAAAUAUGCAACACUCAAAUAAAGAAAAAAAAGGCAAUUAUAUAAUCUUUUGACUAAAUUAAUUUUGAAUUUAAAACAUUCAAAACUUAAAUAAAGAAAAUAAAUUAGUAAUAUAUUCUUUUGACCGAAUUAAUGUUGGAUUUUUUUUUUUUUUUGAAACAUUUAUUUUGGAUUUAAUUGAUGUGUAUUAUUAGUUUUAAUACAUUAUCCAUAUAGCUAGUCGAUAAAUAUAUUAUCCACAUACAUCUAGUUAUAUACUAUUUAUACACUUUUAUAUAUUAAAUUUUAAAAUAUCUCCAUCAUAAGGUUUAUUUAAUGCAUAUGUAAUUCUAUUUUUACUUUGGCGUAGAUACAAAUGUGAUUCAUAAUUUUUUAAAAUUAUAUAUCGAUCAUAUUGGUUAGAUCAUUUGAUCAUACUAGACUUUAAUUUGUGCUCGUGAGUUUAACUCAGUUGGUAUAGACAAUGCAUAAUAUAUGUAAGAUUUGGGAUUUCAACCUCAACACCACAAAAUAAAUAUUAGACUUUAAUCGUCCUUGUGCGCUUAACUUAAUUGGUAGAGACAAUCCAUAAUAUAUGCAAGAUUUUGAGUUCAAAUUUCUAGAAAAAAAAAAAAAAAACUUUAAUCCUAACUACUUUAAAAAAUUAUACAGUAAAUAUGAUUUACCUUGAUUUGCUCAAGGUGUAAUGGUGACUAAAGUGAGUCGAAAGAUAAUCUCAAAGUGAAACUCCCUUGUUUUGCAAGUAAAGAAAGAAGAAGAUAAGAAUGAUGCAGUAAGCAAUUCCCUGAGAUUUCAGACAACCGAGAAAAAGGAGGGGCCCACAUUCACAUUUUUAUAAGCUAUUGCGUACUCUACCAUUUAAUAUUAAAAUCCUAAACAUUCCCAACACAAAUCCAAUAAAUCCACAUCUAGAUAGAGUGUUUUUCUUCUCUAUUUCAAGUUACCUGUUCCUUUUUUUUUUUGUUCAAUAUCAAUAUAUAUGGGUGUUUGUGAUGUAGUAGCGAGUAACCUUACAAUAAUCUAUGUGGCAGUUACAUCAUUUGUUAAGGCUUAUGAAGUUUUAUAUGGACGAAGAUUUAGUGGUGUGUUUGUUGUGACUGUGUCUACAACGUUGGUGGCUUUGAUUUUGGUGGCAACUUUAAUGUGGGAUUUGUCUCGGAAGAUUAGUAAGUGUGUUUUUGUCGACCAACAUCCUCGUACUUCCCAACACAAUACCAUGUCUUAUUGUAAAGGUGGAAUCUGUUGGCACGGCGUGGCGGAUCGCUCGCCGGCAUCACAACUUCACUUCAAACUUCCUCUUCACCUUCCUCAUAUCUAGAAACAUCUACUUCAUGUGUUGAGUUCAAGUGUGAGUAUUAGUCCAUGAAUGAACUAAAUAUUUGAUAUACGAGAGAUGUUUUGGAUAGAUAUAUGAUCGACGUCUCUGUCUCUUGUGGUCAUGUUUUAGUUUGUUGUUGCUCUCCACGCUCUCUUGACUUCCAAAUAUUUUCUUCUCUUUCUAUUAGUUAGCUUAUAGUUAGAUAUAUUACAAUAUUAUAAUUUGUAUACUUUGUAAUUAAUUUGUAAAUCUUGGUUUAGGAUGAUUUAUAUGGAUAAUUGAUUUGUUCUUAAGGUUUCAUAAUGAAACAACAUGUAUAUAUCAGUUUCGGUUUGCUUGCUGGAAUUUCCAGGUUAAAUUGCUGGAUAUAAGAGAGGAGAUGAUGUUUCUACUUCAAGUGUAACUUUUUCUGAACCUUCCACUACAAGUCUAGAUUUUUUUUUAUAAGCCAAUGAUUGCAAUUGUUUGUUGGUUUGGUACAUUGAUGUAUUAACUUUUGAUAAUGUUGUGCAUCUUUCUUCUUUAUCAACUUUUGUCAAUAUUGUGAAUCAACAUUUUGCUUUAAUAUUUAUCAAUGUUAUUAUAUUUUGAUAUAUUGUUCCCUUCAUUUGAAUUAAUGAAUGUGGAUGAUAAUGAGUUAUGAGUAUAACUUCCGAUACAUUAUUUGGUACGGUCUAAAUGAAGAUUAGGAGAACACGAGGG